UAAUUUUUGGGUUUGUUUUUUUCAUGUCUCUCUCUUUUUUGGGAAAACACUGGCUAUUAGUGUUGGGAUUAAAUAGUUUGGGCAGUGGGGCAUUUUGCUGAGUGGGUAUAAGCCUGUUUGUAAAGUUUGGAUGAGAUGGAUAGUUUGGGAAACAUCUACAGUUGCUCUUCUCUGACUGUCAGAAAGAGUAUUUGGUGACAUGCCCUCAACAGACCAGAAGAAAUAAGGAAGCAUCCCCCCUUGGGUAGCCAAGGUGCUGUUAAUAAAAGCCUCUUUUCCUGGCACCUGUGACCCUGUGAACACAUCCAAAAGACUCAUGAGUGGGCUGCAUGCCUCUUGACAGAAAUGCAUCUGCAGAGGAUAAUACACAACAUGGCCAAAGGUUUAAGCAGCCCAAGGAGAGAGCACCAUUGGUAUAUUUUGCUACAAGAUUUGCCCUAGUCCCAUCAUUAAUAUGGAUGUGAUAAAAAAUAACAACAACAAGAACUGCAAGAUUAUGUAAAAAAUGGCAGCAAUUAUGGUGUUACCAUAAUGAGAACAAUGAAUAUAGCAAAACCUAAGUUUGAAUUGGAAUGCAUGCACAUAUCUUCUCAGAAGGUCUCUGUGGUAUCUUUGAUCUACCUUCUGAUUGUUAUAAUGUUCUGCUUUCUGCUAGCAGAAGUGAUUGCCAUGUGAAAGCAUUCAGGCAUAGUUAUCCAAGGUUCAAGUGUGGUAAAAUAAACUUGUAGUUAAAGAAGCUGAUCAUGGAUCAGGCUAGCUGAAAAUGCUCUAAAAAAAAAGUCUUUCAAAGAGAAAGCUAGGUUUUGGAUUAAACUAAAAUUCUCGUGGAAAGUGUUUCCAUUGGCAAGAGAAGAAAAUACCCGCAAGCCAUUUUUCCAAAUUUUUUGGCCUUACAUUUUUCAGAUGUUAGAAAGUAUUGGCAAAAGUUGAAAUCCUUAGUCUAGGAAAAAGAGUACCAUUUUUUGGCGAUCACUAUUAAAAAAAUCUGUAUGCA